CUAGAUUGCUUCCUGACACCGCCGUCCCAGCUCGAGCUGCUCAAAAUCUCUGGCCUAACGAUGUCGUACGACGAUGUAGAAAUUGAGGAUAUGCAGUGGAACCAGGAGUUACAAGCUUACACGUACCCUUGUCCCUGCGGCGACCUCUUCCAGAUCACCAAAGAAGAUCUCCGUCUCGGUGAGGAAAUCGCUCGAUGCCCUAGCUGUUCUCUUUACAUCACAGUCAUCUACAACCUCGACGACUUCAUCGCCUCCGAUUCUAAUAGCAACGUCCAGCCCUCCAAGCAGCAGCCCGUCGCCGUUGCUUAAAUUCUACAAGUCUUCUCAUUCUUUUAGGAAUCAGUAAACACAGAUAAAAUGAGUGAGGUUGUUCUAUUAGACAUUGGUGAAAAAUAGUUUUGGAGAUCACCUUGUGGGAGGAGAGGGGAAUUACUGGAGACAAUUCUUCAGAUUAUCUUGUCUAUUGAUCCUUUAGAAAUGUCAUUCUGCCUUGAGGAAUCCAACGAAUAACCAGUAUCUAGCGAAGUUUUUUGAGGGGAAAGAAGGAAAACUGAUACUGGGAUGACGCUCUGGAAUAGGUCCAUUAUUCUCGCAUAAUGUGGCAUUUUUAUGUUAUUCAAGUACUGUAUGUCCAUUAUUUGUGCAAUCCAAUCUCUUUAAUAAGGACAGUGGGGACUGGAGGGUAGAGAACUAGAGAAGUAUGGAAUGAUAUUGGGUAUUUCUGACAAUCUAGAUAAAACUAAAUUCCACUGCGAGAAUAAAAUGAUUUAAGAUCUGCAAGAUCUCUAUGAGAAGUUAAAGCCUCUGACUGGAUUUUAAUGGGUUGGAUUUUCCCUCUCA